GUAGGUGGCAAGCGUUGUCCGGAAUUAUUGGGCGUAAAGCGCGCGCAGGCGGGUCCUUUAAGUCUGAUGUGAAAGCCCACGGGCUCAACCGUGGAGGGUCAUUGGAAACUGGGGGACUUGAGUACAGAAGAGGAAAGCGGAAUUCCACGUGUAGCGGUGAAAUGCGUAGAGAUGUGGAGGAACACCAGUGGCGAAGGCGGCUUUCUGGUCUGUAACUGACGCUGAGGCGCGAAAGCGUGGGGAGCAAACAGGAUUAGAUACCCUGGUAGUCCACGCCGUAAACGAUGAGUGCUAAGUGUUAGGGGGUUUCCGCCCCUUAGUGCUGCAGCUAACGCAUUAAGCACUCCGCCUGGGGAGUACGGCCGCAAGGCUA
rnacentral:rRNA from 1 species